UCUCCAUCGUUAUUACUCUGGUUUCUCCAUUCUCUUGCCAAAUCAUAAGUCCUGUAAUCCUAAAACGAAGAAAGCAUCUGUGUUUCUCAAGCUUUUCAAUGGGUGAUCGAGUAAGAGGCUUCCCGAAGAGGUGUAGAAGUGGAGAGGCUGUUGUAUGCUUGCCCUUUUGGGAGAGAAGGGGAUUGGUAUCAUACUUUUAAGUGGACUGAUAUCUCAAUGCUGGAAGAGAUUGAAGACUUGAUGGAGAAAGUGGAAAAUAUUGAAGGAACAUCAGCCACUUUGCAAAAGGGUUUCAACGCUUGCGAAAAUGAGCUUGAGAAUUUGGCUUUGGAAACUCGUGUAUGUGAGACUGUGGUUGAAAAAGAAAUUGGAGACUGUAAGAUGCAACUGCGCAGCUUGAAGAACAUUGUUGUUGUUGCUAUGUUCAUUGUGGUCUUCUUGAAGUUUAUAUUUUGAGUUUAGUUAUGCUUGUUGUCGCAAUGGUAUUUAGUUUAAGCUAAUGUAUGUUAUUGUAGCUAAUUUACGUACUAUUAUAUGUUGUAGACUUAUGUAUGUUCUUGUAGUUGAAGUUAAGACUGAUGUAUGUUCUUGUUUUUAUGGUAA